rnacentral:rRNA from 1 species
AGUGAACGCUGGCGGUAGGCCUAACACAUGCAAGUCGAACGGCAGCACAGUAAGAGCUUGCUCUUACGGGUGGCGAGUGGCGGACGGGUGAGGAAUACAUCGGAAUCUACUUUUUCGUGGGGGAUAACGUAGGGAAACUUACGCUAAUACCGCAUACGACCUACGGGUGAAAGCAGGGGAUCUUCGGACCUUGCGCGAUUGAAUGAGCCGAUGUCGGAUUAGCUAGUUGGCGGGGUAAAGGCCCACCAAGGCGACGAUCCGUAGCUGGUCUGAGAGGAUGUUCAGCCACACUGGAACUGAGACACGGUCCAGACUCCUACGGGAGGCAGCAGUGGGGAAUAUUGGACAAUGGGCGCAAGCCUGAUCCAGCCAUACCGCGUGGGGGAGGAAGGCCUUCGGGUUGUAAAGCCCUUUUGUUGGGAAAGAAAAGCAGCAGGUUAAUACCCCGCUGUUCUGACGGUACCCAAAGAAUAAGCACCGGCUAACUUCGUG